AUGGCGGAUUUUGCGAUGCAGUGCCGGCGGCGACAGGUGUGGCGACGCAGCACGCGGUGCCCAUGGCGGAGGCGCCGGGACACCGCCGGCGAGCUCUCCAUUGCAGCUCCGGCGAGAUGCAUCGCAGCUCUGAGACCUCCGUUGAGUGCUCCAUUGCAGCGCCAGGAGCGGUGGCGAGCUCUCCAUUGCAGCGGUGGGAGGGAGCGCCGACGAGCGCUCCAUUGCAGCUCCGGCGAGAUGCAUCUCAGCCCCGAGACAUCUUCAAAGCAACAUUGCCGGAGUUGCAAUGUCCCUGUCGGCCCACUCCCCGUGGUCACCGUCGCAGCGCUACUCCCACCAUUGCAGCUCAGGCAGCCACGCCGUGCUCAAAUCGCAGCUCGACGGCCAUGCGCAGAUGCUCCCCAUCGCAGCAGCAUCAUCUACGACGGCCAUGGCGGGCGGUGGUCGCGUGUCGAAGCUUUCCUCGACUCAUGA
rnacentral:rRNA from 1 species